rnacentral:rRNA from 1 species
AACGAACGCUGGCGGCAUGCCUAACACAUGCAAGUCGAACGAAGGCUUCGGCCUUAGUGGCGCACGGGUGCGUAACGCGUGGGAAUCUGCCCCUCGGUUCGGAAUAACAGUUAGAAAUGACUGCUAAUACCGGAUGAUGACUUCGGUCCAAAGAUUUAUCGCCGAGGGAUGAGCCCGCGUAAGAUUAGGUAGUUGGUGGGGUAAAGGCCUACCAAGCCGACGAUCUUUAGCUGGUCUGAGAGGAUGAUCAGCCACACUGGGACUGAGACACCGCCCAGACUCCUACGGGAGGCAGCAGUGGGGAAUAUUGGACAAUGGGCGAAAGCCUGAUCCAGCAAUGCCGCGUGAGUGAUGAAGGCCUUAGGGUCGUAAAGCUCUUUUACCAGGGAUGAUAAUGACAGUACCUGGAGAAUAAGCUCCGGCUAACUCCGUGCCAGCCGCCGCGGUAA